rnacentral:rRNA from 1 species
UACGUAGGGCGCAAGCGUUGUCCGGAAUCAUUGGGCGUAAAGAGCUCGUAGGCGGCCUGUUGCGUCCGCUGUGAAAUCCCGGGGCUUAACCCCGGGCGUGCAGUGGAUACGGGCUGGCUGGAGGCAGGCAGGGGAGAACGGAAUUCCCGGUGUAGCGGUGAAAUGCGCAGAUAUCGGGAGGAACACCGGUGGCGAAGGCGGUUCUCUGGGCCUGUACUGACGCUGAGGGGCGAAAGCGUGGGGAGCGAACAGG